rnacentral:lncRNA from 1 species
AAAAUCCCUUCUUACCUCACUUUCUAUCCAACAUUUCAUUCUCUCAUCCGAGAUCUUAUUUGUCUAUCACUUACUCUGUCACUCAUCUCAUUAAACCUCAUUUGCUUCCAAGGUUAGAUCUAUUAUCCUUUCUUCUAUUAUGAUUUUUUGUUCGUAUUUUCGUUCUCAUCAAACCUCAUGUUUUGAACUAAAAGUUUGUUCCUUUGUGUAAUGAUU